CUCUCGUCUGUCAACGUCGCUGCCCAUGAAAUACACGUUGCAUGUUGCAGACACACUUAGGAAACAGUUGAUAACCACAAAAGGAAUGGGCGCGAUCGCGAAAUGGCUUUUCAUCCAGAAGAGAAAGAGAACUCGCUACAAAUAGGCACUACUUUCGACAAUCACCACGUGAAGCAAAUAUCUUAGUGUGUUUUCACCAUAAAUCAGCCAAUCGUGAUGCAGCGACUAUUUCCGGAAUCCCCGGCAAAAUGGGAAAAUUACCAUAACUAUUUCCGAAAUCCCUCCCAAAAUGUGAAAAUUACCAUAAUUAACCAGACAUACGCGCAUGCCCACAACAUAGUCCGCAUACACAGCAACUCUGAGUCUCUUCGCAAGUGCAUUUACGCUACAGUACAGUGCACACAGCAUACAUUCAUUUAUCUCUUGCGCUUAUCAUCACCGCUCAAUAACAAAUCACUCAAAACACAAUAUGAAAUCCGCUUCGAACUACUUUCCACAUCCACUUCUACUUUCCUUUUGCUUUCACGAGGAUGCCCCUUUCAGUUUCACUUUACUGGCGAAAUCCGCAAUUACAUGACUUUGCUCACAUACGCACGCAAAUUAACAAAGCAACAUAUCACAUACAUAGAAUAAAUACAGAAAUAACAACGUACUAAAUCACUUGGCUUAUAUCUAAAAAAUCAGUGCCAUCAAAUGCCCCUCAUACGCGCUAUUCGCUAUGUCGACAACAGCCCUUUCAACAUAGUAGUACAUAGCCCUACAGCAACAACAACAAGCGCGCGCCAAAUAUGGCCGAUUGAGGAAAGACACGAUGGAUUUCUCGCAAGUUAGCAGUCAGAAUAGCUUUGUAUCAAUGUAUAAUGCACACCAACUCGUUAGAUGACCAUUUACCACGUGAAUACAACUGCACGGAGUAUUUGGACGUGAUAAGACUGGAAGUACCUUGCUAGCGCCACGUGCGACGAAAGGGCUCCAGAACUCCUGUAUUUUCAUGGGAAGGUAACCAUCCCGUCCUUGCUGUCUCAUGAAGUCGGAUUGCCAAUAGUGCAUGGAAAGCCGGUUGUAAAGGCUACAAAAGCUCCAACUUGCAAAGACCUGCCAAUGCAAGAUCAACCAAUCAAAAUUCAGCAGCCAACUAACAGUGAACCAAUCAAAGUUCAGCAUUCAGUGGAAGUGCAGACCAGUUUCAUUGAGCUCAAUCCACCAACUUUACAACAGACAAAGGAGAGCUUACCUCAUCCUGGUCCUGUCACACAUGCCUACGAACUUUGGCUGAAGGCUGGGUCAGCGAGUACGCUGAGUCAUGACGUCACCGCUGCGGUGGCUAUGACAAUCACGUGCAGUGACGGGACGGACCAAAUCACCAGCAGUUACAAUGUGGACAUUUUUGACGCGGUUCCCGUUCCGACCAAUUUUGCCGGUACUUCCGGUCCGCUUGGAGACCUAUCGCUAGUGGGCACUUCUGUUCACCAGUUCACCAUAACCGACCAAGAUGACGCCAUUUCCUUUUCCAUCAACGCUCAGGAGGUCGCAAAGUUUGGCAUCACCAAGGUGGACACCGCUACCGGAGCUCAACGGUUCGACGUCAUGACGAUUGCCACGCUUGAUUACGACUCUGCUACGAGUUACACGAUCACCGUCACGUGUACUGACGCUAUCAACCCUGUGACGUCAUCAAGGACCAUCAACUUAGCAGAUGACAAACCCGUUUUCUCCGGACUUCCGGCUACGUUGUCGCCGGCACGUAACGACGGCUUUCAGACGGCGAUGUUACUUUGCACGUUCAGCGUCACGGACGCCAACGACCAGAGUAUUAUCACGUGCUUGAUACAGGCGCCGAUGGACAGCUUCUUAAACCUGGUUCCCGUCAAGGUGCCGACAUUUGCGAUCUGGGUCAAAGCCAGUGUGACGUUGGACUCAGCGUCAUCACUCUCCUCGUUAACGUCCAGUGCGUUGACGACAGAUCGCCCGCGAAUACCAUUACCGAAACGUUCACUGUUCCCUUAUUUGACGAGGAAUUUAAAGCUGGUUCGGUGGCUGUGCGACGCCAUUGGGGAAGUUCACAACUACGGACCCGGAUACGACAUGUUCUGUGACGUUACCUGUGACAACAGUCUAUGAGAUCAGAAAAGUGGCGUCACUGACCGAUCCCCAGAAACCGGAGUUCGAAGUGUGGAUCAGUAACGCCGUUACCCAGGCGUCUAUCGACUUCAAUGACCAGGCUGUUCCGCUGCCGCUAACAAUCAAGUGCACAGACGGAAACGUUGUCAAUGACAUCACGGGGACGUUUAACGUCAACAUCGUCGACUCGCCACUGGUUUUCACUGCACUGCCUGCUACCGGAUCUAACAUUUUCGACGGUCUCAAACACGCCACCGAAACCCUUCACACAUUCAGCGUCACCGAUAGCGACGACACCGUUACGUGCUCUGCAAGAGCGCCGGAAAACGCCCUUUUUGAAGUGGUCGCCGGCGUGGCACCAAGUAAUAAACUGGAAAAAUCAAUACCAAUUUAAUCCUCGUUCUGGGAAAACUGGGCUUAAUGCAUGUGCUUUAAAAGUGGUCUCUGAGCGGACCCAGGCUAAAAGGAUUUACAGUUAACAUAAAGAUGGGGGUUACGCUAAGAGCAGCGAACGGACCUUACGUCAUCAACGUCGACUGCUCAAAUGGCGACAAUGACGUCACUGGGACGUUCACAAAACCAGUGAUCGAUACGCCGCCGACCUUUGUGUCCGGGAUCCCCUGAAGUUCCCCCAACGUAUCUGACGCUACCGUCAAGCAGACGUUACUCGGGAAGUUUAAAACUACAGACCCAGAUACGGCGCGCUCUGUGACGUCACCAUCCACCACCGUGUAUGAGAUCAGAAAUGUGACGUCACCGGUAAAUGUAUCUCAGCCAGGAAAUCCUCCAGUAAGGAUAAGAAGUUUAUCGCGGCUGAUGUUGACACAUAUCUCUAUGAGGUUGGGGGAACAUUGGUGAACGCUGCCUGCCCGACUACACGAACAUGUUGGCUCUGUACAAGGUCAACCCCAACGCUGAGUAGGUCUUGAAACACAGACAACGCAUGAAAGCCGAUUAACCGCGUCUUAAAAUUGUUCGACAGAGACUGAAAUUUUGCUGGCAGAGAGAAUGGGCAAAACCUCGUAUUUAGCUGUUCUGACAAAAGCCCUCCAUCCCAUUUCUUUGCAUAGCUCUCAUUUCCAUUUAGAGCUCCAAUAACUAUUUUGAGCUCCCAUUUCUAUUUAGAGCUCACUUGUGUUUUUAGAGCCCUAAUGUCUGUUUAGAGCUCCAAUUUAUAUGUAUUGCUCCCAUUACUAUUUAAAGCUUCUUUGUUAUUGUAUUUUUUCUGCAAAGUAUUAUACAUGUAUUAUAAUUACUGAUGCUGGCCCUUUUUGACCCAUAUCCGACAGUGUUGUCUCAUUACAUUUAAUGUUAUGUGCAUCACAAAUGUUGCGCUAAGUUAUUUCUUGUGUUUGUAUACUAGAUGAUUAUUAGGAAUAUGUACUAUAAUAGUAAAUAUGGCUAUACACAUGUUAUUAAAUACGUCUGAAGAUUAAA